AUUGAACGCUGGCGGCAUGCCUUACACAUGCAAGUCGAACGGCAGCGGACCUUCGGGUGCCGGCGAGUGGCGAACGGGUGAGUAAUAUAUCGGAACGUACCUUUCAGUGGGGGAUAACGUAGCGAAAGUUACGCUAAUACCGCAUAUUCUGUGAGCAGGAAAGCAGGGGAUCGCAAGACCUUGCGCUGAUUGAGCGGCCGAUAUCAGAUUAGCUAGUUGGUGAGGUAAAGGCUCACCAAGGCGACGAUCUGUAGCGGGUCUGAGAGGAUGAUCCGCCACACUGGAACUGAGACACGGUCCAGACUCCUACGGGAGGCAGCAGUGGGGAAUUUUGGACAAUGGGCGCAAACCUGAUCCAGCCAUGCCGCGUGAGUGAAGAAGGCCUCGGUUG
rnacentral:rRNA from 1 species